GAGAUAUUUAUAUCUCGAAGAAGAUUAAUGAUGAUUUUGUUCGGACGCUUCUUGCAUGGUUUAGAGUUUGAAUAUUUAUCUAAAUUUCAUGGACAAAACUUUGUAACAAACAAAUAUUCAAUAUGUUAUACAUUAAUCUAUGGAGACUUAAUUGUCUC
rnacentral:ncRNA from 1 species